CAAACAUUCUAUAUAUGUAUAAUACUUAAAUUGAAUGUGUUGCUUAUAUAGAUUUUAAAAUUUAUUAGCAUGGGUGGGAAAAUGGAACAAACUCUCCUAAGUUAGUGACGUCCUCUCUAGUUGCAUGCAAUGUGUUUCACAUAUCACUAUAUAACUUGUAGGCACUAAAAAGUUUCUUUCAUUGUUGUCUUUUGAUAUGUAUCUGUAUCUUAUCCAUAUCUAUCUUGUUCCAUAAGAAGAUAGUAGACCCUGAUUAUUUACAGAUUGCUUCUCAUGCCUCAUUUUCCAGACGACCUAGCACUGUGCUUAUACAUGAUGCUACUAACGACUGAAGUUUAUUUACUAGGCUUGAUUUCUUCCUAAACCCUUAUGUAAUAGAUCCUCUGUCUCUGUAGUCAGUAGCCCACUACUGAGGCAAGAACAUUUCAUAGGAUGUUAAGAUAUAAGACAAGAAAAUUAUUGACCACCCGUUCUUAUUUGCAUAAAUGUAAUCCUUUAAAACAUUUUAGAUGUCAAAAUAUAUGAUAUUUUUCUGCAUAUCUGAACAGGGGAUUAUGCUGGAGUUUUGAGAAUCUUAAGAAAUCACGGAAUGAUAGAAAAGAUCAACAUGGUCAGUGAUUAGUGCUGAGACUAUUAGAAAGAAGAACAAACUGAAGGAGCUGGUUUGGAUUAAAGUCACAUACAAACUGAGCCAUCUCCAACAUCUACAUCAGGAAGUAACUCUAACUCAAGAUAGAGGUCAUUGGAGGGGCAACAGGUUUGUAUUGCUUAUUCUGGCUUGUCUUUUCCUGUACUGGAGAUCAUUUGGAAGAUCUACCAGUG
rnacentral:lncRNA from 1 species